rnacentral:sRNA from 1 species
UCUCCCACGCUGCAGUCGGUGGCUCUGGCCGGAAUCAGACCCGGAAUCGGAAUCGCAAUCGCUAUCGGAAUCGCAAUCCGAAUCGGAAUCGGAAUCUUGCCCGGAUUGCCAAGCGGACUGGGAGUGAGAGCGUGUAUUUUUAGUGCUUGCGUGCGAAAUUUUGUUGGUGUCAAAGUUAAACAAUUUACGUGAGAUUGCAAGGACAGGCCAAGAAGAAGCAGCAGUAG